AAUAAGUGUAGUUUUGCACUAUUCAUCUCCAACGUUUGACCGUUCGUCUUAUUUAAAUUUUUUUUAUAAUUACUAUUUUUAUUAUUAUUAGAUGAUAACAUGAAUAGUACUUUAUGUAUGGCUAAUUUUUUUAAAAAAAAUUCAUAAAUUUUUUAAAUAAGACGGACGGUCAAACGUUGGACAUGUAUUUCCACGACUGCAGUUAUU
rfam:Oryza glumipatula chromosome 1, whole genome shotgun sequence.